rnacentral:lncRNA from 1 species
GAUCUUCAUGAACAAUGGCAAGUCACCAUUGAUCUUCAUGAGCAAAUACAAGUCACCAAUGAUCUUCAUGUACAAGUUUAAGUCACCGAUGGUCUUCAUGAACAAAUGCCAGUCACCAAUGAUCUUCGCGAGCAAAGUCAGGCCAGCACCAAUCUUCUAGAGUCCAGUAAAGACACAAGCGGAUUACCAGAGUUUCGUCGUCCCGUUGUUCUGGCCGCACGGAGGUCUGCUCCGCCUUGGGGGGCUCUCGUCCUGACCACAUGGCUGUGGUGGUCUUCUGCUCCGCCCUGGGGGGCUCUCACUUUGACCACACGGUUGUGGUGGUCUUCUGCUCCGCCCUGGGGGACUCCGGCCUCGACCACAAGGAUGUGGUGGUCUUCUGCUCCGCCCUGGGUGGCUUCCGUCCUGACCACAUGGUUGUGGUGGUCUUCCGCUCCGCCCUGGAGGGCUCUGGCUUUGACCACAAGGAUGUGGUGGUCCUCUGCUCCACCCUGGGGGGCUUUUGCCCUGGCUACACGGUUGUGGUGGUCUUCCGCUCUGCCCUGGAGGACUCUGGCCUCGACCACAAGGAUGUGGUGGUCUUCUGCUCCGCCCUGGGGGGCUUCAUGUUGUUUUUUGCCUUUUGUUUUUGUGUUCACCUUCUGUGUAUUUAUACCCGGUCUGUCUGAGUAUGUGUCACAGAGUCCUUGUCUAAUGUCUUGUCAUUCCAUAGUCUUGAUCCUGCCUUGUGUUUUGUCUGUUCUUGUUUAUUUGGAUUCUCUGGUUUUGACCCUGCCUGGACUGUUUAGUCUUUUGGAUUACCCCUCAAAUAAAUAUCUUACCUGUACUUUGAUCUCUCCGUGUUUCUUGUAUCACUGAACGUGACAAAAUGUAACUGGAAGCCAGUGUAAGGACCUGAGGACUGGUGUGAUAUGCUCAGAUUUUCUGGUUCUAGUCAGAAUCCUGGUAGCAGCGUUCUGGAUGAGCUGCAGCUGUCUAAUGGUCUUUUUGGGAAGGCCGGUGAGGAGCCCAUUACAAUAGUCCACCCUGCUAGUGAUAAUGGAAUGAACAAGUUUCUCCAAAUCUUGGCUGGAAACAAAACAUUUAAUUCUUGCAAUGUUUUUUUUUUUUUUUAUGAUAGUAUGCUGAUUUAGUUACCGCUUUGACAUGACUACUGAAACUAAGGUCUGUCUCCAGAAUCACACCAAGAUUACUGACUUGAUUUUUAGUUGUUUGACCCCUAGAGUCAAGGUA